CGGUGGGGCGGCCGCCCUCGGGCUGGCGGAGGCGCCGGAGGAGCCCCCGAGCUGCAGCCGUCUCCCUCGGGCUGCUGCCGGUGCUGCGGGCGGAGGCGGCUCCGCCGCGUGUUGGGCGCUGCGAGCAGGGAGCGCUGCGGUAUCGCCGGCAUGACGGGGCUGCUGCCUGCGUUAGUGCUCGUGGCUCUUUGUGCCGUGACAGCGGAUGGAGCGGCGCUGAGCGGGACACCCAGAGAUGGCCGGGAGAAUGCCCAGCGCAGGGAGCGGGCGGGCUGUGUGCUUCGGAUGGCACAGGUGCGAGCUGCAAAGUCACCCCCCCUUCCGCCCCUGCCCUCCCGAGCCCCGGAGAAAAUGCUUUCCAGCAUUGUCGAGCUUCUGAAAGACAAAACUUGUGAUUUGACACUAGCAUCCAGAAAAGGUUUCUGUCUAGAUUAGCAAAUGCCUAAAUUGUUCUUGGUUACAUCCCAUGACCGGUUUUAGGCAGUGACUUCAUACUGCUUUUAGGAUUUUCUUGUACACUGGUGAGAAAAUAGGCAGGUCUGAUAGUGGUUUCACUUUUUUUCUACUUCACGUUCCAUAAGAUUCUUUUAUCCAAGCGAUUGUUUUAAAAUUCUACUGUAAGCGUUUGUGGUUCACUUUUUUUUUCUUUGCAGCACCCGGGCCUUUUUUUUUUUCUCUAAAUCGGGAGUAAAUAUAGCUGAGUAAAAUUACCUUGGUUAUCUUCCUUCUUUUUAAACUUAAUUGUUUUUAUUAAUAAUUCUAUCUGAAUAUGCAGAAAAAGUGAGUAUGUCCUGUAAUCUAUGCUAGCUUUUCUCGUUUACAGGGUACUCACAAAAUAUGUCUCCCUUAGUGUCCCACAGAAACAUUCUGGGUGCAAUCUGAAUUAAGGUAUGUGUUUUCAAAUAAGUAAUCAGUUUAGAUAUUUGCCUGUGUACCUUUUCCUGUAAUUCAGAGCUUGUGUUCUGUGGGUUUUAUGAUAAACCUGUAAAACAUGUAAGAAUGGUUUUGCAAGUCUGAAUCGUUGAAGGCAGCAAUAAGUGGAUUUAAAGCCUGUUCUUGAGCAGACAAAGGGGAAAAGUGUGACUCUGAUGCUGAACUUGUCAUUUUUCAUUUGACUUGCCUUUAAUUAUUGAAGAAGAGAGAGAACUAGGAAAAGAAAUAGAAUUGAUUAUUGAGCACUCCUAAAAAGCUCACCAUGAUUCUGUGUAGAGCCAAAGUGAAGGAUGAUGGAACAGAGCUCUGUGCAUUAGAAGGAAAUAAACCUGAUGUCCACACAGAGUCUUACUAAUUUCUGUUUUUAAAAUGCAAAAUAAGUUUAGGAAGUGUUGGAAGUUAGUAUUUUGGGAAAGAAAUGGCAGUUCCACAAAACAUUCCAUUCCAUUUAAGAGAGGCCCUUGGACUGAUUCAUGUUGUAACUGCUGUCACUGCAAUCAGUUGGUGGUUCAGCCUUGAAAUGUGCACUUGGCCUUCUAUAAAGCACUGUUUUGUUUGCCUUUCAGUGCUAUGAGUCUUGAUAAAUUGGAGAAGUGCCCAAGAGAAAUUCAUCAUCCUGAGAUACAAAAGGUAGGAAGUGACUUUUUCUGGUUUGGUUCUUUUUCUUUAUUGUUUUCUGGAAAUAGAAGUAAUUAAGUAUAGAUACUACUGGUUUGUUUCUUCCAGUAGCUGAUAAUACUAAUACCAAUAAUAAUAAUAAUAAUAAUAGUAAAGUAAUACUACUUCAACUGUCUUUAUUUAUCCAUUGAACUGGCCAUUUUAAAUCUAAACUUCUAAACACAAAUCAAACCAUCAUCCUUGUAGAAUCUUUAAUAGGAGUGGGCUAAAGAUCCUGGUUUUGUUGACAGGAUUUAUUGGUUCAUGAACAGCAAGAGGUAAGUACAAGCCUAACUACCCUCUAGCUCACAGACCUGCCCGGUGAAUAGAGCUUUGUUUUUUUGAUGGGCUUGUGAUGACUUUGAGAUCAAUUGCUCAUUCAUUACAGUAAAAAAAAAAAAAUUGUUUUGAACAUGACAGCAAAAAUAACUUUAAGCACAACUUAAUAAUAAUAAUAGAUCACCAAUUUUAGUUAAUAAUUUUAUGCUAUACUCUUGGGUGAGGGAAGACUCGGACACUCAAUAUGAGAUCAGCAAGCUAUGUUUAUUGCAGAGAGUAUCAGACACUUAUACAGCACAUAAUAAGCUUAUGAAUAUUCUGUAAGCCAAGCGAUCUAUUGGUUAAACUAUACCAUCAACUCUUCCUCAUUCCUUUGGGCCUACAUUCCCUAUUUCCCACGUCUCUCUGUCUACUUGUUAUCCUACCCAGCUAGGCCCAGGCACACGCUAUCUUGCAGGUGCAAAACUCAAAAAUACCUGUGUUCGGUACUUUCCCAGCUCCUGGUCGGCUAACGAGCGAAUGUCUGCGUGACCUCUGUCAUGGAGCCAUUUCUCCACACUAUACUAUCAAAGUUUAAAGGUAAAUUAUUAUAUAUUAGGAGAUGGUGUAAAGUGUAUGUUGUAAUGUGUAGGAUAUAUACAAAGAUACGUACUUGAAAGUCCGUAGAGGAAACAAAUUUUUACGCCUUCUGUUUGACUGUUUGUCAUAUAUUUGGUUUUAUUUCCCAGGGAUCAGUGAAUUUUAACUCUGGAGUCCUCUAUGCUAAGGAUGCUCAGCUUAGAGAUGAUGAAAUGUUCAGUAAUGUAUUUGCUGCAGCUCUGCUUACCCAAGGUUUGGGUAAAACAAGCUUUGGGUUCCCUCUGUCUCACUGGGAGUUGCCCAAUUCAGUUGCAUCUGGUGAAAUUCACCCUGAGACCUUACAGAACCAGCUCCAACUACGUGAGAGCCAUUUGCAGUUCUCUCCAGACACCUGGAGAAUGGGCGACAUUUCUGAGAAUCCGGCGAGCGUGCUUCUAUCAAAACUCAGUCUGUGAAAUUCCUGGGGAAAACCCUUCUGUGUCCUGAAGGGUUCAAACUCUGGUGAGGAUCCAGUUAUCAGGUGCUCACCUGGAUGGUUCCAGCUCUUAAAGUGAACACUUGUACUCUUGCCCUGUAGUUUACAUCUAUUGUAUUUUUGUUAUUUUGCAGGAUUUUUUGUCUUUGCAAAA